UACAGAGGGUGCAAGCGUUAAUCGGAAUAAUUGGGCGUAAAGCGCGCGUAGGUGGUAUGUUAAGUGGUAUGUGAAAGACCGGGGCUUAACCUUGGGGUGUCAUAUCAGACUGGCAUACUAGAGAUCAGUAGAGGAAGGUGGAAUUUCCGGUGUAGCGGUGAAAUGCGUAGAUAUCGGGAGGAACAUCAGUGGCGAAGGCGACCUUCUGGGCUGACACUGACACUGAGGCGCGAAAGCAUGGGGAGCGAAC
rnacentral:rRNA from 1 species